rnacentral:lncRNA from 1 species
GGCGGGAAGUCGCUGCCCGCGCGGAGGAAGCGGCCGAGGCCGGAGCCGAGCCCGGCGAUGGCUGCAGCGGGGUCGGCGCAGCUGUGAAAUGCCUGGGUUCCCUCCAUACCUCAGCAUCUGGCAGGGAAAUAAAUAAUGGUGCUGCUGCUGCAACAGCUCCCCACCUCCCCCAAAAGAAUGAACACCGCACAUUUAACAACUGUACAGCUGAACAAUGCUUGCACCCUCUGUGAAAGAACUGGUAGCUCUGAAUGGCGCCACCUGGUGAUACCUGCCAUGACAUGUGGCCGAUGCCUUAAUGACAUACUGCAAACUGUUUUCAACAGCUGUAAGAUGGCAAAGGAGCAAAGUUCCCUUCUUCCAAAAUCUUCCCCCAUGGUACAUUUUUCAGGGAAGAGUUGGGCUAUUCAGAUUCCAAACCGGACUUAAUCCACCAGAUCGAGGUAGGGAAGGCAGAGCUCUGGAUCCAGGAUGCUGAGGACUGCAGGGAAAGCUCUGGGCCUGAGAGCCCCUCCUUGGGUGAGUCAUAAUAAUCAAGUCCCUUCUGAUUUACACACCUGCUAGUGAAGGGCUCCUAGAUGUAGAAGGCAAAGGCAGAGCGAGAUCAACUGGCUGGGAGCGGAAGGAUUCUCUGCACCUUGAGGUCUUUAAACCACAAUUUGAGGACUUC